rnacentral:rRNA from 1 species
UUUACCUAGCGGCGGACGGGUGAGUGAUGCUUAGGAAUCUGCCUAUUAGUGGGGGACAACAUCUCGAAAGGGAUGCUAAUACCGCAUACGUCCUACGGGAGAAAGCAGGGGACCUUCGGGCCUUGCGCUAAUAGAUGAGCCUAAGUCGGAUUAGCUAGUUGGUGGGGUAAAGGCCUACCAAGGCGACGAUCUGUAGCGGGUCUGAGAGGAUGAUCCACCACACUGGGACUGAGACACGGCCCAGACUCCUACGGGAGGCAGCAGUUGGGGAAUAUUGGACAAUGGGGGGAACCCUGAUCCAGCCAUGCCGCGUGUGUGAAGAAGGCCUUUUGGUUGUAAAGCACUUUAAGCGAGGAGGAGGCUACCGAGAUUAAUACUCUUGGAUAGUGGACGUUACUCGCAGAAUAAGCACCGGCUAACUCUGUGCCAGCAGCCGCGGUAAUACAGAGGGUGCAAGCGUUAAUCGGAUUUACUGGGCGUAAAGCGCGCGUAGGUGGCCAAUUAAGUCAAAUGUGAAAUCCCCGAGCUUAACUUGGGAAUUGCAUUCGAUACUGGUUGGCUAGAGUAUGGGAGAGGAUGGUAGAAUUCCAGGUGUAGCGGUGAAAUGCGUAGAGAUCUGGAGGAAUACCGAUGGCGAAGGCAGCCAUCUGGCCUAAUACUGACACUGAGGUGCGAAAGCAUGGGGAGCAAACAGGAUUAGAUACCCUGGGAGUCCAUGCCGUAAACGAUGUCUACUAGCCGUUGGGGUCUUUGAGACUUUAGUGGCGCAGCUAACGCGAUAAGUAGACCGCCUGGGGAGU